rnacentral:rRNA from 1 species
UACGGGGGAUGCAAGCGUUAUCCGGAAUUAUUGGGCGUAAAGGGUCCUGAGGUGGCUAGCCAAGUCUAUUGUGAAAUAUCAGGGCUUAACCCUGAACAUGCGGUGGAAACUAGAAAGCUUGAGUACAGUAGGGGCGGAGGGAAUUUCCGGUGGAGCGGUGAAAUGCGUAGAGAUCGGAAAGAACACCAACGGCGAAAGCACUCUGCGUGGGCCGAACACUGACACUGGAGAGACGAAAGCUAGGGGAGCGAAUGGGA